rnacentral:tRNA from 1 species
GCCGGUGUAGCUCAGUGGCAGAGCGUCGCUCUUGUAAAGCGAGGGUCAUCGGUUCAAAUCCGAUCACCGGCU